GCUGGCGGCGCGCCUAACACAUGCAAGUCGAACGGAGUUAUCUCAGCAGAAGUUUUCGGAUGGACGCAGGGAUAACUUAGUGGCGAACGGGUGAGUAACGUGUGGGCAACCUGCCCUGUACUGGGGAAUAAUCAUUGGAAACGAUGACUAAUACCGCAUGUGGUCCUCGGAAGGCAUCUUCUGAGGAAGAAAGGAUUUAUUCGGUACAGGAUGGGCCCGCAUCUGAUUAGCUAGUUGGUGAGAUAACAGCCCACCAAGGCGACGAUCAGUAGCCGACCUGAGAGGGUGAUCGGCCACAUUGGGACUGAGACACGGCCCAAACUCCUACGGGAGGCAGCAGUGGGGAAUAUUGCACAAUGGGCGAAAGCCUGAUGCAGCAACGCCGCGUGAAGGAUGAAGGGUUUCGGCUCGUAAACUUCUAUCAAUAGGGAAGAAAGAAAUGACGGUACCUAAAUAAGAAGCCCCGGCUAACUACGUGCCAGCAGCCGCGGUAAUACGUAGGGGGCAAGCGUUAUCCGGAAUUACUGGGUGUAAAGGGAGCGUAGGCGGCAUGGUAAGCCAGAUGUGAAAGCCUUGGGCUUAACCCGAGGAUUGCAUUUGGAACUAUCCAGCUAGAGUACAGGAGAGGAAAGCGGAAUUCCUAGUGGAGCGGUGGAAAAUGCGUAGAUAUUAGGAAGAACACCCGUGGCGAAAGGCGGCUUUCUGGACUGAAACUGACGCUGAGGCUCGAAAGCGUGGGGAGCAAACAGGAUUAGAUACCCUGGUAGUCCACGCCGUAAACGAUGAGUGCUAGGUGUCGGGGAGGAAUCCUCGGUGCCGCAGCUAACGCAAUAAGCACUCCACCUGGGGAGUACGACCGCAAGGUUGAAACUCAAAGGAAUUGACGGGGGCCCGCACAAGCGGUGGAGCAUGUGGUUUAAUUCGAAGCAACGCGAAGAACCUUACCAAGGCUUGACAUCCCGAUGACCGUCCUAGAGAUAGGACUUCUCUUCGGAGCAUCGGUGACAGGUGGUGCAUGGUUGUCGUCAGCUCGUGUCGUGAGAUGUUGGGUUAAGUCCCGCAACGAGCGCAACCCUUAUCUUCAGUAGCCAUCAUUGAGUUGGGCACUCUGGAGAGACUGCCGUGGAUAACACGGAGGAAGGUGGGGAUGACGUCAAAUCAUCAUGCCCCUUAUGUCUUGGGCUACACACGUGCUACAAUGGCUGGUAACAAAGUGACGCAAGACGGUGACGUUAAGCAAAUCACAAAAACCCAGUCCCAGUUCGGAUUGUAGUCUGCAACUCGACUACAUGAAGCUGGAAUCGCUAGUAAUCGCGAAUCAGCAUGUCGCGGUGAAUACGUUCCCGGGCCUUGUACACACCGCCCGUCACACCAUGGGAGUUGGAAGCACCCGAAGUCGGUGACCUAACCGUAAGGAAGGAGCCGCCGAAGGUGAAGCCAGU
rnacentral:rRNA from 1 species